ACGGGCAUCAGAGAUGUGGAAGAUGAGGAACUAAGAUGCUUUUACUUCGGAAUGUCACCUUGACAUCUUUCUUUUGUGAUUGCUUUGUACACAGCUUGGUACGAAGAGACAGAUGAAAAAUAUUUACUCUCCCCUCCUAGAAAGACUAUUGGCCCUCUAUAUCAGUAUUGAAUAGGUUCAGGUAAAAUCUUCGGUUCGCUUUGGUUUGGUAUACAAUGAUUUUGGUUCCAGUUGGUGGCGUUAUGCUUUGAUAGAUUUAAAGUGUUAUCUGCCUGACUAAAUUCUUGAUGGCGCAAGGUAUAUACUCACGAUCACCGAAGAAGGUUACGUCGGAGAACCGAACGGAUUUGUGUGUAUUUCUUUGGUGCGGGGUCGUAUAGUAAUUACAGAAAUUAGGUAGGACCACUUCCUUCAAAAUUAGACAGCUGCCACAUUAUACAGUAGAUCCUGUAAUUUGUUCCUCAUGGAGUCCUAGUGAAGUUUAAGAUCAAUAAAUUUUUUUUCCGAUAAA
rnacentral:lncRNA from 1 species